ACACGUCAUCUUUAGCUGUCAGAACACGUCAUCUUUAGCUUUCAGAACACAUCAUCUUUAGCUACCAGAACACAUCAUCUUUAGCUGUCAGAACACGUCCUAAAGAUGAUGUGUUCUGAGAGCUAAAGGUGACGUGUUCUGACAGCUAAAGAUGAUGUUGU
rnacentral:pre_miRNA from 1 species